rnacentral:rRNA from 1 species
AAAUCCGGAAAAUCAAGGCUGAGGCGUGAUGACGAGGCACUACGGUGCUGAAGCAACAAAUGCCCUGCUUCCAGGAAAAGCCUCUAAGCAUCAGGUAACAUCAAAUCGUACCCCAAACCGACACAGGUGGUCAGGUAGAGAAUACCAAGGCGCUUGAGAGAACUCGGGUGAAGGAACUAGGCAAAAUGGUGCCGUAACUUCGGGAGAAGGCACGCUGAUAUGUAGGUGAAGUCCCUUGCGGAUGGAGCUGAAAUCAGUCGAAGAUACCAGCUGGCUGCAACUGUUUAUUAAAAACACAGCACUGUGCAAACACGAAAGUGGACGUAUACGGUGUGACGCCUGCCCGGUGCCGGAAGGUUAAUUGAUGGGGUUAGCGGUAACGCGAAGCUCUUGAUCGAAGCCCCGGUAAACGGCGGCCGUAACUAUAACGGUCCUAAGGUAGCGAAAUUCCUUGUCGGGUAAGUUCCGACCUGCACGAAUGGCGUAAUGAUGGCCAGGCUGUCUCCACCCGAGACUCAGUGAAAUUGAACUCGCUGUGAAGAUGCAGUGUACCCGCGGCAAGACGGAAAGACCCCGUGAACCUUUACUAUAGCUUGACACUGAACAUUGAGCCUUGAUGUGUAGGAUAGGUGGGAGGCUUUGAAGUGUGGACGCCAGUCUGCAUGGAGCCGACCUUGAAAUACCACCCUUUAAUGUUUGAUGUUCUAACGUUGACCCGUGAUCCGGGUUGCGGACAGUGUCUGGUGGGUAGUUUGACUGGGGCGGUCUCCUCCUAAAGAGUAACGGAGGAGCACGAAGGUUGGCUAAUCCUGGUCGGACAUCAGGAGGUUAGUGCAAUGGCAUAAGCCAGCUUGACUGCGAGCGUGACGGCGCGAGCAGGUGCGAAAGCAGGUCAUAGUGAUCCGGUGGUUCUGAAUGGAAGGGCCAUCGCUCAACGGAUAAAAGGUACUCCGGGGAUAACAGGCUGAUACCGCCCAAGAGUUCAUAUCGACGGCGGUGUUUGGCACCUCGAUGUCGGCUCAUCACAUCCUGGGGCUGAAGUAGGUCCCAAGGGUAUGGCUGUUCGCCAUUUAAAGUGGUACGCGAGCUGGGUUUAGAACGUCGUGAGACAGUUCGGUCCCUAUCUGCCGUGGGCGCUGGAGAAUUGAGGGGGGCUGCUCCUAGUACGAGAGGACCGGAGUGGACGCAUCACUGGUGUUCGGGUUGUCAUGCCAAUGGCACUGCCCGGUAGCUAAAUGCGGAAGAGAUAAGUGCUGAAAGCAUCUAAGCACGAAACUUGCCCCGAGAUGAGUUCUCCCUGACUCCUUGAGAGUCCUGAAGGAACGUUGAAGACGACGACGUUGAUAGGCCGGGUGUGUAAGCGCAGCGAUGCGUUGAGCUAACCGGUACUAAUGAACCGUGAGGCUUAACCUU